rnacentral:lncRNA from 1 species
UUCAUAAUCCAUACAACUCUUUUUGAAUAGCACACAAUCUUUUUCUUUCUUUUCUUUUUAAAUCAUCAAUCUUCUUAUAUACAAUAUUUUUAUUUUCAAAAAUGCUAAUAAAUCUUGUAUUAAAGGUACUUACAUCUUACAAGAGUAUCUCUCUUUUUGUACAUCUAUAAUCUCGCUUUAUAGUGGUACUUCCAAAAAAUCCUUGAAUUCUUCAACAAUCCUUGGCAAUGGAUUUUCUCUCAAUUUGUCUUGAUUGUACUCAUGAUUUGGAGGCACAAUCAAAAACUAUACUGCCUUCUUUCCAUCCUUACUACAAAUUCAUGCAUAAGCUCAACCAUUAUUAAAUAUUUUUAUUUCCAUCCAAAUUAUAAUAAUAUAUGGUUGCCUUAAAAUUAAAAAAAUAAGAAGUUGCAUCUUGAAUAAAGAAAUUUUGUUCCAUUACAACAUUACCAAUUCAAAUUUUCACAUCUAGACAAAUACCAUGUAACUCACCUCGUGUAUUAUUAGCUAUUCAUAUUGCCCAUCCAU